UGGCUCAGAACGAACGCUGGCGGCAGGCUUAACACAUGCAAGUCGAACGAGAAGCUACCUUCGGGUAGUGGAAAGUGGCAGACGGGUGAGUAACGCGUGGGAACCUACCCAAGGGUACGGGACAACUCAGGGAAACUUGAGCUAAUACCGUAUACGUCCUUAGGGAGAAAGAUUUAUCGCCCCUGGAUGGGCCCGCGUUGGAUUAGCUAGUUGGUGGGGUAAUGGCCUACCA
rnacentral:rRNA from 1 species